rnacentral:tRNA from 1 species
GUUUAUAUCUUGAAAAUAUAAGAAAGAAGUAAAAUCUUCUAUUAAUUU